AAAGUUUCCUACGCCACGGCCAUGGACUGGUUUAUUGCCGUAUGUUUCGCCUUC
rfam:Salmo salar isolate Sally breed double haploid chromosome ssa13, whole genome shotgun sequence.